UACGUAGGUGGCAAGCGUUGUCCGGAUUUAUUGGGCGUAAAGAGCUCGUAGGCGGUCUGUCGCGUCGGAUGUGAAAACUCGGGGCUCAACCCCGAGCCUGCAUUCGAUACGGGCAGACUAGAGUUCGGUAGGGGAGACUGGAAUUCCUGGUGUAGCGGUGAAAUGCGCAGAUAUCAGGAGGAACACCGGUGGCGAAGGCGGGUCUCUGGGCCGAUACUGACGCUGAGGAGCGAAAGCGUGGGGAGCGAACAGG
rnacentral:rRNA from 1 species